rnacentral:rRNA from 1 species
UACGUAGGGGGCAAGCGUUGUCCGGAUUUAUUGGGCGUAAAGAGCGUGUAGGCGGUUUGGUAGGUCCGCUGUGAAAACUCGAGGCUCAACCUCGAGACGUCGGUUGAAACCGUCUGGCUAGAGUCCGGAAGAGGAGAGUGGAAUUCCCGGUGUAGCGGUGAAAUGCGCAGAUAUCGGGAAGAACACCCGUGGCGAAGGCGGCUCUCUGGGACGGUACUGACGCUGAGACGCGAAAGCGUGGGGAGCGAACAGG